CCUACGGGAGGCAGCAGUGGGGAAUCUUGCGCAAUGGGCGAAAGCCUGACGCAGCCAUGCCGCGUGAAUGAUGAAGGUCUUAGGAUUGUAAAAUUCUUUCACCGGGGACGAUAAUGACGGUACCCGGAGAAGAAGCCCCGGCUAACUUCGUGCCAGCAGCCGCGGUAAUACGAAGGGGGCUAGCGUUGCUCGGAAUUACUGGGCGUAAAGGGAGCGUAGGCGGAUAGUUUAGUCAGAGGUGAAAGCCCAGGGCUCAACCUUGGAAUUGCCUUUGAUACUGGCUAUCUUGAGUAUGGGAGAGGUAUGCGGAACUCCGAGUGUAGAGGUGAAAUUCGUAGAUAUUCGGAAGAACACCAGUGGCGAAGGCGGCAUACUGGCCCAUUACUGACGCUGAGGCUCGAAAGCGUGGGGAGCAAACAGGAUUAGAUACCCUGGUAGUCCACGCUGUAAACGAUGAGUGCUAGUUGUCGGCAUGCAUGCAUGUCGGUGACGCAGCUACGCAUUAAGACACUCCGCCGUCGGGAGGUACGGUCGCGAGAAGUUAAACUAACAAUAGUAAGUUAGUACGGCGUGAGACGUGACCGACGGACGACGACGAGGGAGGUUAGGG
rnacentral:rRNA from 1 species